CACCGAGAAGGUUUUGGCAACGUACCACUGGUCCACUAUGCGGGAGGACGUGAAGAAAUGGAUACAUUCUAACAGCGACUGAUCUGUUCACGAAGUGGGUGGUAGCAAAAACGCUCUACCACAAAACAGCUGUUGAGGUCUCAAAAAAGAUUGUAAAUAUUCUUCUCGAUUUCGGUCUUGUCGAGAAGAUCAUUACCGACCAAGGACGGGAAUUUGUCAAUGAGGUCAACCGUGGUGUUUUUGAUGCACUGGGUGUAAAACACUGCAUCACUUCAGCGUACCAUCCCC